rnacentral:rRNA from 1 species
GGAUUAGAUACCCUGGUAGUCCACGCCGUAAACGAUGGAUACUAGCUGUUCGGAGCAAUCUGAGUGGCUAAGCGAAAGUGAUAAGUAUCCCACCUGGGGAGUACGUUCGCAAGAAUGAAACUCAAAGGAAUUGACGGGGGCCCGCACAAGCGGUGGAGCAUGUGGUUUAAUUCGAUGAUACGCGAGGAACCUUACCAAGGCUUAAAUGGGGAUUGACCGAUUUGGAAACAGAUCUUUCGCAAGACAAUCUUCAAGGUGCUGCAUGGUUGUCGUCAGCUCGUGCCG